rnacentral:rRNA from 1 species
AGAGUUUGAUCCUGGCUCAGGACGAACGCUGGCGGCGUGCUUAACACAUGCAAGUCGAGCGAUGAAGCUCCUUCUGGAGUGGAUUAGCGGCGGACGGGUGAGUAACACGUGGGCAACCUGCCUUGUACAGAGGAAUAGCCAUUCGAAAGGAUGAUUAAUACCUCAUAAUAUUGUGGCUUCGCAUGAAGCAACAAUCAAAGGAGCAGUCCACUACAAGAUGGGCCCGCGGCGCAUUAACUAGUUGGCGAGGUAACGGCUCACCAAGGCGACGAUGCGUAACCGACCUGAGAGGGUGAUCGGCCACAUUGGGACUGAGACACGGCCCAGACUCCUACGGGAGGCACCAAUGGGGAAUAUUGCACAAUGGGGGAAACCCUGAUGCAGCAACGCCGCGUGAGUGAUGACGGUCUUCGGAUUGUAAAGCUCUGUCUUCAGGGACGAUAAUGACGGUACCUGAGGAGGAAGCCACGGCUAACUACCUGCCAGCAGCCGCGGUAAUACGUAGGUGGCAAGCGUUGUCCGGAUUUACUGGGCGUAAAGGGAGCGUAGGCGGACUUUUAAGUGGGAUGUGAAAUACCCGGGCUUAACCUGUGUGCUGCAUUCCAAACUGGAAGUCUAGAGUACAGGAGGGGAAAGCGGAAUUCCUAGUGUAGCGGUGAAAUGCGUAGAGAGUAGAGAAGAACACCAGUGGCGAAGGCGGCUUUCUGGACUGUAACUGACGCUGAGGCUCGAAAGCGUGGGGGAGCGAACACUGAUUAGAUACCCUGCGUAGUCCACGCCCGUAAACCGAUGAAUACUAC